rfam:Hyphopichia burtonii NRRL Y-1933 unplaced genomic scaffold HYPBTscaffold_4, whole genome shotgun sequence.
GGGCGUGUGGUCUAGUGGUAUGAUUCUCGCUUUGGGUUAUAGCUGUUUAAAGAGCUGAAUGGAUGCAACUCUAUUCCGUGAAGUUUACCAAGCAUGCGAGAGGCCCUGGGUUCAAUUCCCAGCUCGCCCC